rnacentral:rRNA from 1 species
UACGAAGGGGGCGAGCGUUGCUCGGAAUUACUGGGCGUAAAGGGAGCGUAGGCGGAUAGUUCAGUCAGAGGUGAAAGCCCAGGGCUCAACCUUGGAACUGCCUUUGAUACUGGCUAUCUUGAGUUUGGGAGAGGUGUGUGGAACUCCGAGUGUAGAGGUGAAAUUCGUAGAUAUUCGGAAGAACACCAGUGGCGAAGGCGACACACUGGCCCAAUACUGACGCUGAGGCUCGAAAGCGUGGGGAGCAAACAGG